GGACAUUCAAGCUCCAUGCAGAAAGAGGCAUGCCUGGAGUUGAACCCAGGACCUUCUUGCUGCAAGGCAACAGUGCUACCAAUUGCGUGCAGCACUGAGACUCCAAAUGUAAACUGUUUAACAUAGUUGGCUACAAGAGAGACACAAAACAUGCAAGGAGGAAUCAUCUUAGUUCCACAGGAACAUUGUCUAACCAGCUGUCAAGAAGAAAUAGGGAUAGGACAAGCUGUUUUGAAGUUUGCAUUCAACAAUGUGGUGCAUUGCCGCCACCAGCUGGCUUGGAGCGUGGACCAGAAUGUCGCUGACCCGCAUAGCUAUUCGUCGCACCUGUUCAAAAGUCAGAUGUGGCAACCUGUCUUCUGCUGACAAGCUUUAUUGAGAUGCUGAUUUAAUUUUCCAGCAGGACUUGGCACCUGCUUACACUGCCAAAGAGAAUCCAGAGUAUUGUCAAGAGGAAGAUGAGAGACACCACACCCAACAUUGCAGAUGACGUAAAGGCCGGUAUCAAAGCAACCUGGGCUUCCAUUACACCUCAGCAGAACCACAGGCUGAUCGUCUCCAUCCCACAAGGCAUUGAUGCAGUAAUUCAUGCAAAAGAAGGCUCAACCAAUCAUUGAGUGCAAAGAAAUGAACACACUUUUCAGAAGCCUGACAUGUUUGCUCAAAGUAUGCUUUUUAAUUGAUCUUAUGUAAUAUUCUAAUGUUCUGAGACACUGAGUUUUGGGUUUUCAUUGUUUGUAAGACAUAAUCAUCAAGAAAAAAAGGCUUGAAAUGAUUUACUGUAUAUUGAAAUGAGUGGAAAAUAUUUUUACUUUUUCAGGAUAUUCAAAUUUUUAAAAUGUACCUGUAUAAAUUUGAAGGUACAUGAAAGGACACAUGAUUUUAACAUUUGUAUUUGAUGUUAUUUUAAUUUGAUACCCCUGAUUGUGGUUAGUUGCCUCUAAAACCCACCUAAUUGUGUCCACCUGUGUGUGAUUUAAUCUUAUCCAGGAAGAGAGAAUAAUAAUUAGGGAAGUGGCCAAUCCUCACUGUGGAGGAGCUCCAGGGAUCCACAGCUUGGGUGGUAGAAUCUGUUGACAGGGCAGACACAACAAACAUGUCUUUUUUUAAGAUAAAAACAAAAUAACCUUUUUUGACCUCAUGUAACAUAACCGUGGUAGUGGCAGUGUCAUGCUGUGGGGAGCCAGAGCUACAAUGAAAUGAUAUAAAUCAAAGUAUAGUCAUCAAA